AUUGAACGCUGGCGACAGGCCUAACACAUGCAAGUCGAGCGGAGCGGCGGACGGGUGAGUAAUGCCUAGGAAUCUGCCUGGUAGUGGGGGAUAACGUCCGGAAACGGGCGCUAAUACCGCAUACUCUCAGAUCAGCCUAGGUCGGAUUGGCUAGAUGGGGGGGUAAAGGCCUACCAAGGCGACGAUCCGUAACCGGUCUGAGCGGGUGAUCAGGCACACUGGAAUGGAGACACGGCCCAGACUCCUACGGGAGGCAGCAGUGGGGAAUAUUGGACAAUGGGCGAAAGCCGUAUCCAGCCAUGCCGCGUGUGGGAAGAAGGUCUUCGGAUUGUAAGGCACUUUAAGUUGGGAGGCGUUACCUACAGAGUAAGCACCGGCUAACUACGUGCCAGCAGCCGCGGUAAUAC
rnacentral:rRNA from 1 species